AACAUUCCAUUUCCCUCUCUCUCUCGCUUGGUCGCCCCCGUCCCGGUUUCCCUCAAAUCGUCAAUGUCAACCCGAAUUUUUUAGAUUUGUUGUUUUCUCCACUUUCAACCUAAAGAAGAAGAAGAGUCUCCUCCAAUCCUUUCUCCCUCUUUAAGAUCUGAGAUUUCAAAGAGUAAAGACAAAAAUCCAACAUCUUUUUCUAGCUGUGUCUUCAUCACUUCUAGCCAAUUAUUUCCUCAAAUUAACCCCAAUUACACUUUAUUGCUUGCACUGUCGAUAAUUAUAGAUCUUCCAUAAAAAAGUAUCAAAUUUGAUUUUUCACUUUAAGAUCCUCAAGACCUAGUAGAAUUUACUAGGAUCGUAGUUAAAACUUGCCCUUGACUAAGAAGGAACCUAUUUGCUUAACCCUAUUUGUACGCAAUCAGAUUGUGCUAUUUGAGAUUCUUUGGUUUUUGGGUUUUUUUCUGUAUUCUGUAAAGAUGGCGGAGUCAGAGGUGAGUGUCAGGGUUGAUGCGGCAUCCGAUUUGUAUAAGGGGAUGUCUUCUGACAAUAUAAAAGGAUUAGUGAUGGCUUUGUCUUCCAGUGCCUUUAUUGGCGGCAGCUUCAUUGUUAAGAAAAAGGGAUUAAAGAAAGCAGGGGCUUCUGGCAUCAGGGCUAGUAAUUUAUGCUUUUUUGCUUCAAUUUUAGCCAUAUUAUAUGUGCAUUUUACUUCAUUUCUGAAAAUAUUGAUUGUUGAAGGUGCGUAUUUUUUUAUAUUUACUGUAUUUGGAGAUACUUAAUUGGAGUUUGUUUUCUGCAAGUGCAAAUGAAGUAGCUGUAUUGAUAUGGGAGAAAUAGCACUACUGCAAUUGCUUGUGGUUGCAAUAAACUGUUGAGAUCUUGAGUCAUUUCUUGGAGAUUAUGUUCAAACAAGGGAAAGAAAUGUAAACUUGUCAGGAGAUCAAUCCGGUAGGAAAUUGCGUUAGGGAAAUUCUAGGAAAAAGUUUGCACCCUACGGGCAUUUUCGUUCUAAUUCAUUAUUAUCUGUGAAGCAGAGGAAUCUUGGCAAAGAGAAUGUGCUGGAUGAGCUACUUGAAAUAUUAAGUUUCUGUUGAGAAAGAAACGUGGAUGCUAGAUUCAAAAAUCAGAAUAAAGAAGCGGGUUUUUAAGUGGAGAAGUAGUAGAUAGACCAGUAGUGAAGAUUUGACAGAGUUUUUUAGGCUUUAUAAGUUAACUAAUUGAUUUUAUGAAGUGGAUUUUGUGUGAAAUGGUUUAGUUGUUAUGAAGAGUGUAGGUUUGAACUAACAGUUUAUGGUUGGCUCUUUAUAUUUUGACCCUGAGUUGAAUGGUGUGUGUUUGUAACCUGAUUUUGUUUGAUUUUGAAUUGAGUACAUACUCUUCGUCAAGUGUGAUGUCCAUUUUUAUUCUGUUGUGACUUUGCCUUUUCAAUUCCUUGGGAUCCCAGAAAAUUCUUAGGAUCACAGAAAACUUGUAAACAGGCAUCAAUUUCUUGGGAUCCCAGAGAACUUGUAAACUUGCUCCUGAAAGAUGAAUUGUACUUUUCAUGAUAAGAAAAUAACAUAGAAGAAAUGAGCAGAGAUAAAAAGAAAUAUUGUAAUUUCAUCAAAGGGUCCUGAGUUGUGUGAAAGGGUCCUGAGUUGAUGAAUUGAACUAACGAAUUAAUGUUUUUAAUUUUUACUGAUUGAAGUCAAGGUUUCCUGUUUGGCUGUUUUGGUAGUUUCAAUUUCUGGGUGUGCUAGCUUCGAAGUUAAAUGAUUCACGAUUUUUACUUGUGCGAGCACUAAGAGUGUAUAUUAAAAAACAUAAAUUUAUACUAUGGUUUUCUUUGCUUCCAGCAAGGGCUCAGUUUCUGCUAGGAUGGAUGAAUAUCUAAGUAUCUAUGUGCUUGCAGCAUAGUCAAUUGUUUGUGAAAGUUUAACAUUCUGUAAUUAUUUAAAAAAAUGAAUGAAUGAGUGACAUUGCUGUAUGGACCUUGCCUUUAACUUUUCUUUAGAAGCACCAACAUAAUUUAAUAUUUUAAACUAGUAUGCAAGAAUCACAUUUCAGAUGGCUAGCUUGUUGAACAAAAUGCAAUUACAUGCUGAGAACUCUGUAUCAGAAGACAAGCAAACAAGUUUCAUUGUUUUUGUUCCUCCCACAGAAAGUGAUAUUCUUCAUCCAUGUGAUGUGGCUGAGGAUGUUGCAAUUGCUUUUGGUUACAAUGAAAUUCCCAAGGCAAAACUGGCAUCUCU